UGCUUCUUAUUAGAUACACAUCAGAUAUGCAACGACUUUCAAAAUCAUUCACUGGCAUUCUUGAGAUUUCAUAGCAACAAAUUGCACCAGUGGGCGAAGGAAGAAGCAAAGUUGCACAGAAAUGUUUUCGAACAAGCACAGGCAGGAGGGGGCUAUCAAAGACAACAAAGAGAAGAAGAAAAACAGCAGAUCAGCAUUUAACGAGGAAGACAAGGAAGGUGUAAUUAAACAAGGCCUGAUGGAUCAGGUAAUACCAUUAAAAUAGGCUUUCAGAAAGGACGCUGCUACUUCCAGACCCUCUAAAGUUCUUGUGGCUUGCUAAGAUCCAGCUUCACGGGUGAAAAAUGUAUUUCCACAGCAGGGCAUCUAACAAACAUGAGCAUUUCUGAGGUGCUGUGAGGUGAUUUUGCCAAGAUGUUCCUCCCUUGAGCCUGCACCCUGGCUAUUUUGAUCAUACACUGAAGAAACGGAAGAGGAUGUGCAGGAGAUAGCAGUGGUUACUUGACUUGUUGCUAUUCUUUGAAUGCAACUGUAACCGGUCACACAGUCAGAGCAGCACUGAUCUCCAGGCACUGUGACGGUCCCCUGGAGCUGUCCUCCUCCCUCUGCAAGAGAAUCUGUGGCCUGAAACAUGGGACCUUCAUGCAUUCCUUCUCAAAGCUGGAGUUCAGGUGGGAGGAGGGUGAGAGACUUCUCAUCAGUGGACAGAAGGGCAGGUGAGAUUCAAAAAUGAACAACUUUGAAAAAAAAAAAAAAAAAAAAAAAACACCUUUGUACAAUGAUGGCUGCAGCCUGUUUGGGAGGAACAUCAUCUCUGUAGAAAUGCUGGGUGCAUCAUUUCAGAAUAUGCUUGGUUACUUUUAUACAGCUCAUUUGAAGUCAAUGACAUGGGCACAAGUGCAUUUUGAACACAGUUGAGAGAUCAGUCUCUUUGAGAAGAAGGUUAAGAAAACAAACGAAACUUGCCUUGUAGAAACAGCGGGACAGGGUGGGGGAAUCCCAUAUUAGCCAACAUUCAAAUUACUGCAUUGCUUUGUAAUUUCAGAACUCUACUUGUCUAUUGGCUUUUGCAUUAAAAAUAGGAAAGCCACCAGACUUCCUUCCAGCUGACAAAGAAAAGUAACCGGUAAUUGGCAAUUGCCUGUUUUUAUUGGCUGCUGAAAUCAAAUGGGCCAAAUAUUGUCAGUGCAGUCUUGAGCUGACAAAAUAAGUUUAAAGCUGAGAACCUUCCCAGGCUAGAAGAAGGUAUCUAUAUGCUGUUUUAAUAGUGUCUAGCCACAUACAUGUUGGCCAGUCUGGAAAUACAACUAUAGAUUGGAGGGAAAAUAAAUAAAUAAAUAAAAGUAGUCCUAUUGAUUUUUCUAAUUAAAAUGAAGAUCUGUGCUGUAGUGGUUUUUUGUUUGCUUGUUUUUAAUUAUAUUAAAAUAACAGUUAAUACAAGAGAUAAGUUUCUGUGUGUCAACAGGCUAAGAACAAGCUUAUCAUUUCCCAGAAUUUUUAUUUUAAAUUUAAAUGGAAGCCACUUGGGUUUUAAAAUUAUUCUGGUUUGUGUGUGACUUUUAAGUAAAAGACCCUUUUCAGUCUUGCUUUCUUCUAAUAAUGAAAUAUAAUUUGUUCUAAUCUAUUUCUGCUGUAUUAGAACUAUGAAAAAAGUUGAAAUAGUGAAAAGCUGCUUUGCAAGAAAAAAAUGUACAGAAGAUUUGUUUGAAUGUGUGGUUAAAUUAAUUAAGAUAUUACUCAAUAAAAUUUCUGGAUUUUUUU